rnacentral:sRNA from 1 species
GUAGAUGCUCAUUCCACCCCUUAUGCUCGCUACGGCCUCAUAAACCCAGGAAUGACGCAGAGCCAUUUACGGUACACGCUGUCCACCCGUCCGCCAUGACUGGCAGAUGAUCGGACAUUACGUUGAGUCUUGUACCACCGGUUAUCUUAAUGACCUGAUCUUAUGCCUGUCUUGCGACAGGCUUUUUUUU